UACGUAGGGGGCAAGCGUUGUCCGGAUUUAUUGGGCGUAAAGAGCGUGUAGGCGGCCAUACAGGUCAGCUGUGAAAACUCGAGGCUCAACCUCGAGACGUCGGUUGAAACCGUAUGGCUAGAGUCCGGAAGAGGAGAGUGGAAUUCCCGGUGUAGCGGUGAAAUGCGCAGAUAUCGGGAAGAACACCCGUGGCGAAGGCGGCUCUCUGGGACGGUACUGACGCGUGAGACGCGAAAAGCGUGGGGAGCGAACGAGG
rnacentral:rRNA from 1 species